UUCAGAGACAGCGAGAGACCGGAGGAGGUGGGAGACGGUGGGGGAAUAUCUCAGUCUGUGCCCACCUCUGACUGACUGAGCAAUGAGGUAUCCUGUGGAUAUUUUAACCGGUGGAGAAUGGGACGUUGUAAAGCAAUCAUCAGAGGCUUACCUGUCGAGACUUCGCGAGAGAGAGCAGGAAUCCAGUGAGUGGUUUACACUGGCCAAUGGAGAGAAGGUUGCUGUGACACUGUCCUCUCUGGCCUUUCUGCAGAUACACAGGGAGCACAAAGGGCACUGUGUCCUGGGCCUGGCCAGCUCUC